AUACGUAGGGUGCGAGCGUUAAUCGGAAUUACUGGGCGUAAAGCGUGCGCAGGCGGUUUUGUAAGACAGGCGUGAAAUCCCCGGGCUUAACCUGGGAACUGCGCUUGUGACUGCAAGGCUAGAGUACGGCAGAGGGGGGUGGAAUUCCCCGUGUAGCAGUGGAAUGCGUAGAGAUGUGGAGGAACACCAAUGGCGAAGGCAGCCCCCUGGGUCGAUACUGACGCUCAUGCACGAAAGCGUGGGUAGCAAACAGGAUUAGAUACCCUGGUAGUCCACGCCCUAAACUAUGUCAACUAGGUGUUGGGUGGGUAAAACCAUUUAGUACCGUAGCUAACGCGUGAAGUUGACCGCCUGGGGAGUACGGCCGCAAGGUUAAAACUUAAAGGAAUUGACGGGG
rnacentral:rRNA from 1 species